GACACGUGGUAUCCUGUCUGAAUAUGGGGGGACCAUCCUCCAAGGCUAAAUACUCCUGACUGACCGAUAGUGAACCAGUACCGUGAGGGAAAGGCGAAAAGAACCCCGGCGAGGGGAGUGAAAAAGAACCUGAAACCGUGUACGUACAAGCAGUGGGAGCACAGAGCAAUCUGUGUGACUGCGUACCUUUUGUAUAAUGGGUCAGCGACUUAUAUUCUGUAGCAAGGUUAACCGAAUAGGGGAGCCGAAGGGAAACCGAGUCUUAACUGGGCGUUAAGUUGCAGGGUAUAGACCCGAAACCCGGUGAUCUAGCCAUGGGCAGGUUGAAGGUUGGGUAACACUAACUGGAGGACCGAACCGACUAAUGUUGAAAAAUUAGCGGAUGACUUGUGGCUGGGGGUGAAAGGCCAAUCAAACCGGGAGAUAGCUGGUUCUCCCCGAAAGCUAUUUAGGUAGCGCCUCGUGAAUUCAUCUCCGGGGGUAGAGCACUGUUUCGGCAAGGGGGUCAUCCCGACUUACCAACCCGAUGCAAACUGCGAAUACCGGAGAAUGUUAUCACGGGAGACACACGGCGGGUGCUAACGUCCGUCGUGAAGAGGGAAACAACCCAGACCGCCAGCUAAGGUCCCAAAGUCAUGGUUAAGUGGGAAACGAUGUGGGAAGGCCCAGACAGCCAGGAUGUUGGCUUAGAAGCAGCCAUCAUUUAAAGAAAGCGUAAUAGCUCACUGGUCGAGUCGGCCUGCGCGGAAGAUGUAACGGGGCUAAACCAUGCACCGAAGCUGCGGCAGCGACGCUGAUGCGUUGUUGGGUAGGGGAGCGUUCUGUAAGCCUGUGAAGGUGUGCUGUGAGGCAUGCUGGAGGUAUCAGAAGUGCGAAUGCUGACAUAAGUAACGAUAAAGCGGGUGAAAAGCCCGCUCGCCGGAAGACCAAGGGUUCCUGUCCAACGUUAAUCGGGGCAGGGUGAGUCGACCCCUAAGGCGAGGCCGAAAGGCGUAGUCGAUGGGAAACAGGUUAAUAUUCCUGUACUUGGUGUUACUGCGAAGGGGGGACGGAGAAGGCUAUGUUGGCCGGGCGACGGUUGUCCCGGUUUAAGCGUGUAGGCUGGUUUUCCAGGCAAAUCCGGAAAAUCAAGGCUGAGGCGUGAUGACGAGGCACUACGGUGCUGAAGCAACAAAUGCCCUGCUUCCAGGAAAAGCCUCUAAGCAUCAGGUAACAUCAAAUCGUACCCCAAACCGACACAGGUGGUCAGGUAGAGAAUACCAAGGCGCUUGAGAGAACUCGGGUGAAGGAACUAGGCAAAAUGGUGCCGUAACUUCGGGAGAAGGCACGCUGAUAUGUAGGUGAAGUCCCUCGCGGAUGGAGCUGAAAUCAGUCGAAGAUACCAGCUGGCUGCAACUGUUUAUUAAAAACACAGCACUGUGCAAACACGAAAGUGGACGUAUACGGUGUGACGCCUGCCCGGUGCCGGAAGGUUAAUUGAUGGGGUCAGCGCAAGCGAAGCUCUUGAUCGAAGCCCCGGUAAACGGCGGCCGUAACUAUAACGGUCCUAAGGUAGCGAAAUUCCUUGUCGGGUAAGUUCCGACCUGCACGAAUGGCGUAAUGAUGGCCAGGCUGUCUCCACCCGAGACUCAGUGAAAUUGAACUCGCUGUGAAGAUGCAGUGUACCCGCGGCAAGACGGAAAGACCCCGUGAACCUUUACUAUAGCUUGACACUGAACAUUGAGCCUUGAUGUGUAGGAUAGGUGGGAGGCUUUGAAGUGUGGACGCCAGUCUGCAUGGAGCCGACCUUGAAAUACCACCCUUUAAUGUUUGAUGUUCUAACGUUGACCCGUAAUCCGGGUUGCGGACAGUGUCUGGUGGGUAGUUUGACUGGGGCGGUCUCCUCCUAAAGAGUAACGGAGGAGCACGAAGGUUGGCUAAUCCUGGUCGGACAUCAGGAGGUUAGUGCAAUGGCAUAAGCCAGCUUGACUGCGAGCGUGACGGCGCGAGCAGGUGCGAAAGCAGGUCAUAGUGAUCCGGUGGUUCUGAAUGGAAGGGCCAUCGCUCAACGGAUAAAAGGUACUCCGGGGAUAACAGGCUGAUACCGCCCAAGAGUUCAUAUCGACGGCGGUGUUUGGCACCUCGAUGUCGGCUCAUCACAUCCUGGGGCUGAAGUAGGUCCCAAGGGUAUGGCUGUUCGCCAUUUAAAGUGGUACGCGAGCUGGGUUUAGAACGUCGUGAGACAGUUCGGUCCCUAUCUGCCGUGGGCGCUGGAGAACUGAGGGGGGCUGCUCCUAGUACGAGAGGACCGGAGUGGACGCAUCACUGGUGUUCGGGUUGUCAUGCCAAUGGCACUGCCCGGUAGCUAAAUGCGGAAGAGAUAAGUGCUGAAAGCAUCUAAGCACGAAACUUGCCCCGAGAUGAGUUCUCCCUGAC
rnacentral:rRNA from 1 species